CGCACUGGGGAAUAUUGCGCAAUGGGGGCAACCCUGAAGCAGCGAUGCCGCGUGAGUGAUGAAGGCCUUUCGGGUAGUAAAGCUCUUUUAGUAGGGAAGAUAGUGACGGUACCUACAGAAAAAGCUCCGGCUAAAUCCGUGCCAGCAGCCGCGGUAAUACGGAGGGGGCGAACGUUUUUUGGAAUCACUGGGCGUAAAGGGCGCGUAGGCGGCCUUGCAAGUCAGGAGUGAAAUCUUCCGGGUUAACCUGGGAAAUGCUCUUGAAACUGCACGGCUAGAGAUCGGUAGAGGGUGGUGGAAUUCCCCGUGUAGAGGUGAAAUUCGUAGAUAUGGGGAGGAACACCCGAGGCGAAGGCGGCCAUCUGGGCCGAUACUGACGCUGAGGCGCGAAAGUGUGGGUAGCGAACAGGAUUAGAUACCCUGGUAGUCCCCACCGUAAACGAUGAGUGCUAGUAGUUCCGGGUAUCGACCCCUGGGGUUACGAAGUUAACGCGAUAAGCACUCCGCCUGGGGAGUACGGCCGCAAGGUUAAGACUCAUU
rnacentral:rRNA from 1 species